AAGUCGUAACAAGGUAACCGUAGGUGAACCUGCGGUUGGAUCAUUAUAAAAGGAUCAGCAUGUCGGUUGACAGCAGCAUAGUGCUGCAGUUCCGACUUCAAGUGCUCAAUCUUUCUCCCAGCCAAUGAAUUGCUGAAGAUUCGUUGAAGCUUUUCAACGUUGAUUUACAGUUUGUUGUCCUGUGGAUCCAGAAAGAAACAUCUUGUGAACCGUUCCGUCUCUGGCGAGAGGGUAGUGAAGAACUACUUGUCAGCAUUGCUUUUUGCGGUGCCGUGGACAGCUCGCCAACCCCUUCUAAACAUAUAUUUAUUUUUUUAUGCCUGACAUUUAUUGUAUAAAUAUACAAAACAACUUUUGGCAACGGAUCUCUUGGCUCUC
rnacentral:misc_RNA from 1 species